AUUGAACGCUGGCGGCAUGCCUUACACAUGCAAGUCGAGCGGCAGCGCGGGGGCAACCCUGGCAGCGAGCGGCGAACGGGUGAGUAAUACAUCGGAACGUGUCCUGUCGUGGGGGAUAACCAGUCGAAAGACUGGCUAAUACCGCAUGAGAUCGAAAGAUGAAAGCGGGGGACCGCAAGGCCUCGCGCGAUUGGAGCGGCCGAUGUCGGAUUAGCUAGUUGGCGGGGUAAAAGCCCACCAAGGCGGCGAUCCGUAGCUGGUUUGAGAGAACGACCAGCCACACUGGGACUGAGACACGGCCCAGACUCCUACGGGAGGCAGCAGUGGGGAAUUUUGGACAAUGGGGGCAACCCUGAUUCAGCCAUGCCGCGUGUGUGAAGAAGGCCUUCGGGUUGUAAAGCACUUUCGGCCGGAACGAAAUCGCGCGGGCUAUUACCCCGCGUGGAUGACGGUACCGGAGGAAGAAGCACCGGCUAACUACGUGCCAGCAGCCGCCGUAA
rnacentral:rRNA from 1 species